CCACUCGCCGGCGUGCGGCCCCCGCUCGAUCAGCCGCCGCCUCCCGCCCUCCGCCCGUCUCGUCCUUCCCGCUGCCAAACUCCUCCGCCGCGCCGUCGCUUCCACCCCGCGAGAUGCAGGCGGCGAACUUCAGUAUCAAUCAGCUGACCUUCCAUGGCUGACAGACACACAUGCAUGGUGAUUGGCGACCUUGUUCAACCUGCCGAAGAACAGAAAGCCAUUAUGGAGAGCGUCAGUUCAUUGCUACAUUGCCACUUUCUUUUGAGCAAAAGCUACAUAUCCCUGAAUGGUGGCCCGAUUCGACUUUGCGGCUCUCGUGGUAUUAGUGGCCUCACCACCUACAAUUUGAGCAUCUCAGAUCCGUGCCGUAUAUAUCCUGGGAGCACUUUCAGAGAUUUGUUCUCCAUUAUGUGACCGAUGAUGCUCAAAAUGCAACUGAAGCAGGUCUGGGCUGGCUCUGCUCAACUGCAUACUGGUCUUGUGCUUGCUGAUAGGGAGAUGGUUAUCUUCUUUUGGUUCUGACGCUGCGCGAUAUGCUAACAUCGACGCACGUAGUAUGGCAUGACCUUCCUCCAUGCAUGACAGACAUGAACGCAUGGUGAAUGGUGAUCUUGUUCAGCCUGCUGAAGAACGCGACAACGGACAGCUAUGAUGGCGAGCUUCCCUUCAUAGCCCCUGAAAGGUGGCCUGAUUCUUUUCCUCGUGGUAUUAGUGGCCUUACCACCAGGCACCUUUAACUUGUACGUAUCCUGGGAGCACUUUCAGAUAUUUGCUCUCCAUUAUUUGAAUGAUGAUGCUCAAGGUACAGCUGAAGCAGGUCCGGGCCAGACUCUGCCGCUGUGAAUACUGGGGUUCUGCUUGCUGAUAGAGGGAAUUGCCUUCCUUGCGGUUGAAACGCGGAGUGGUGGAGCGAUAUGUUAACGUUGGGUAGGAUUGAGUUUUAAGCUUCCAGUGUGUCCUAAUAACACCGUCAAGAUUGAAUUUUAAGCUUCCAGUGACCAACUGAAGAUCGUGACCACAAGGGAACAUGGUAAUGAUGGUGGCGCAGGGUACCGGAACAAUAAUGUGGGUGCACGGUGGAGAUUCCAAGUUGAGUUCGGCUAGGCACCUGCGAUCUGCAUGCACAUGCAUGGACCAUACGGAUGUACCACCAGAGUUUGAUUUUGCCUCAGGAGACCAUGUUUCUGCUGUGAUUUACCUUAGUUUAGAACUGGAAAUGUACUGAAAUGCCACCUAUAAAUUCUGCUAUCCCUCAGAAGAAGUUUGUUAAUGGAUAUUUUUACCCAGGCCAAUUAAGCGUUUAACAUGCAGCAAAUCUCUUCCCGAAACUUCAGGAUAGGACGCGACAUCAAAUUUCUUAGCUUAAGUGCUAGCAUAGUUACCCCUGCUCGGUACAGAGAAAUGCAAUCACGCUCAAGCAGUGAACAUCUUGCAGUGGACAUGACCCCAAAACUUUCUCCCUCUCUUUUAUUCGACCCACAGUUCAGAAACCUUUUUUUUAGUAAUUACUCUAUGCUUUCAUUCGCUUAAAA